GACGAACGCUGGCGGCGUGCUUAACACAUGCAAGUCGAACGGUGACGGAGAGCUUGCUCUCCUGAUCAGUGGCGAACGGGUGAGUAACACGUGGGCAACCUGCCCAGACUUCGGGAUAACGCUUCGAAAGAGGUGCUAAUACCGGAUACGAGCUCCUUGGGCAUCCUUGGAGUUGGAAAAGUUUUUCGGUCUGGGAUGGGCCCGCGGCCUAUCAGCUAGUUGGUGAGGUAACGGCUCACCAAGGCGACGACGGGUAGCCGGCCUGAGAGGGCGACCGGCCACACUGGGACUGAGACACGGCCCAGACUCCUACGGGAGGCAGCAGUGGGGAAUAUUGCGCAAUGGGCGAAAGCCUGACGCAGCAACGCCGCG
rnacentral:rRNA from 1 species